GUAGGGAAUAUUGCGCAAUGGGGGAAACCCUGACGCAGCGACGCCGCGUGAGUGAUGAAGGCCUUCGGGUCGUAAAGCUCUGUUGCAGGGGAAUAAAAAAAUGAAGGUACCCUGUGAGGAAGGAUCGGCUAACUUCGUGCCAGCAGCCGCGGUAAGACGAGGGAUCCUAGCGUUGCUCGGAAUCAUUGGGCGUAAAGAGGGCGUAGGUGGCUUGGUAAGUCAGGUGUGAAAGCCCAGGGCUCAACCCUGGAAGUGCAUUUGAUACUGCUGAGCUUGAGUGUCGGAGAGGUUACCGGAAUACCUGGUGUAGUGGUGAAAUACGUAGAUAUCAGGUGGAACACCGGAGGCGAAGGCGGGUAACUGGACGAACACUGACACUGAGGCCCGAAAGCGUGGGGAUCAAACAGGAUUAGAAACCCCAGUAGUCC
rnacentral:rRNA from 1 species